AAACUAUUCACAAUCUAGUUGGAUGUAUAAACCUCAUGUAUACACAAGCCUCAGACAACAGCAUAACUCUCCAUUAAACUGCUUCCUCUCGAACAGAUAACUUACCACACCAUAAUAAUUGUGACGUUACUGGAACACUAUGAAAAGCUUGUUUUACGAACCUCAUAUCUACUAUGGGUAUCAACCAUAAAGGAUAUCCACUGCAUGACUUUUCCUCUCGUUAUACGUAUGUGAUAACUUUUUGAACAGUCAUGCCUUGAGCAACCUUCAUCUAACAUAAUGGUUUAUAUAGUCUUGAAAGAAUCUAAGAAAACAGGCCAGCCAUUUUACAUCAUUGCCAAUUUGGUAGAAAAUAAAUAAAAGCACGCUUGAACCCGUAAAGCAGCAACAUUAUGCUUGAGCCAGGCCCUUUUUGACAAGCAUCUCAUACACUUUGUCAAUCUUAUUCGGAUCAACAUUGAAUAGACCAUGCGCAUCAGAUUUCUUGGUGAUGUUGCCAUUAAAGAUCCCCAUGGACAUGGUUUGCGACAUGUUUAGAUAAUGAGCCGGCAGGAUUCUCAUCUCAUCACAAAGCUUUUUUUCAGCUUCUGAGAGCAACUCAGCUCCUGAAAACCCACUGACAUCCCAAAUGUCUACAGCACUUCCAACACCAUGUGGUGCGGUGGUUGAUGAUAAGUCAUUGCAACAAUCCAUCAUUUCAGGGCCCCUACCAACUCCUCUGGGGCUGCUGUCAUGCUCCACUUUAAAGUGACCUGCUCUUUGCAAAUAUUUUCCACUUGGGCCACUCUGGGUGUUCUCCUUCAGUCUACGUAUAUUUUCUUCAGAUUCCCGCGCUCUCUUUUGUUCAACAUAUCUUUCUGCCUCAGCUAAAGUUCGGCAACCAGCAAUUCGGGCAUCCUGAAGAUCUCGUAUUCGUUUAACUAUUCGGUGCUCCUCGAUUAUGCUCCUAAGGAAAUCCUCAUGCUCCUCUUUAGAACUAAAACGCAUGAACACCCUGUAACGACGGCAUAUGUCCUUCUCCUCCGGGGUGAGGUCUUUCUCAAAAGGAUCAGGAUGAAGUAGUUUCCUUUCCAAAAUAAAAUCCUUCCUACGUUUCCUCUCAUCAAGCCUUUUAUUGUAUAUACGCAAUACCCGAAGUUUCAGUUCACGCUCAGCAUUGGUAUCUGUCUCUUUAAAUUCCAUAUCAGCCACCAUCUGCUCAGCAUCAUUAUCGUAUUCAAUUUCAAACUCCUCUCUCUUGGAAUUAUAACCACUUAAUUCUGUCAUGGAAGGCCCCUCGUCCACUGAUGACCUAGGCUUUUUCUCUCCGACACUCCUGUCUGCAGGACAACCUUCCACUUUGAUGCUAUCAUGAUUCUCCUUACUAUGAAGUAAGCUAGAUGUCCUCUUUCCAGCUCCUGCUAAUGUACCAGAAGCAGAACCUCCAACUGAGGCAAGUCCAGUUGAAUUUUCUUCCCUUUGAUCUUCCAUCUUGAUUCCUGCAGAGAAUGGAGACUCUUCUUUAACAUUAACUCCCCCGGGAGCUGCAUAUCCUUGAUCCUUGGCCAUGGCAAGAAGUUCCUCUCUGUUCUUUCCCAUAACAUGGGACAUGUCCGGAAGCGGAAAACAAGGAGAACUAAUAUAUGUGGACUUAUAGUGGUCAAUACACUGCUGUUUACUCUUUGUUCCAACAUGUUCGGCAACUUCAGCCCAGUUUGCCAAUCCGUACAUUUCCAAACCCUCUAGAAGUAACAUUUCCUCAUCAGCAUUCCAGUCAGCACAUAUGAGAGGAAAUGACAGGUUAU
rnacentral:misc_RNA from 1 species